rnacentral:lncRNA from 1 species
AGAGCUGAGCAAGAUUAAAACACAGCCUAAGAAAAAGAGGCACUAACCUGACAUAAAAGCACACUGCAUGUUCUCCUGUUGUCAUAACUAACAGUUUGGGAACGAAAUCUGUGCUCAUCCGCAGCACUCCAGCUCUCCUGAUGGCAUUCACUGGAGCCCCCAAAGCCUUUUCAAGUCUCUGCUGGUCUACACCAGGAUGCACAGCUCACUCUGAAUCACUGCCUAUUGGAGCACGUGUGCGACGAGUCGUAUGAGGAACCACCUUCCCUCCCUGACCUCUGCACUGCAAGUACAUCCUUCUUCCAGUGCAUCACUAUCUCAGAUGUCUAAGAAGAAAAGCAUCACCAAACCAAAAUGAUGAAAAAUGAGAUAAAACACAGACAGUUUUUCUCCCAAUUUUUUAGCAGCUCUUGGGAAAACAUGACCCACUCAACAGCGUGCUGCAGUCAGGAGCAACGGCUGUGAGAGGAAACAUGGCUGCAGCUGGAUGGAACUGAGCUGGGCAGAGCUGGCAGCAGGAGCUGCUCACACCAGUGCCAGGAGAAGCUAGCCCUGCAUUUCCUUGUCAGUGCUAGCAACUCCCUUCUGAGCAUGGGCAGAAGCUUUUCAAAGCUUCAGUAUUUCACUGACUGCAGAUGGAUUUUCACAGAAAGGAUAGAACAUUUGUGACACAAAGUUUUCCCUCCUCC